UCUGGUGACUAUAGCAAGGAGGUCACACCUGUUCCCAUGCCGAACACAGAAGUUAAGCUCCUUAGCGUCGAUGGUAGUCGAACUUACGU
rnacentral:rRNA from 1 species